GACGAACGCUGGCGGCGUGCUUAACACAUGCAAGUCGAGCGGUAAGGCCCUUUCGGGGGUACGACGAGCGGCGAACGGGUGAGUAACACGUGGGUGACCUGCCCUCAGCUCUGGGAUAAGCCUGGGAAACUGGGUCUAAUACUGGAUAUGACUCCACGGUGCAUGUCGUGGGGUGGAAAGCCUUGUGCGGCUGAGGAUGGGCCCGCGGCCUAUCAGCUUGUUGGUGGGGUGAGGCCUACCAAGGCGACGACGGGUAGCCGGCCUGAGAGGGCGACCGGCCACACUGGGACUGAGACACGGCCCAGACUCCUACGGGAGGCAGCAGUGGGAAAUCUUGCGCAAUGGGCGAAAGCCUGACGCAGCGACGCCGCGUGAGGGAUGACGGCCUGG
rnacentral:rRNA from 1 species